GGAGUACGCAUCCAUGAAGCUUAACAACUCAUGCCCAGCUGUGGAGUCCACCAGUUGGUCAAUCCUUGGGAGUGGAAAGCUGUCUUUGGGCAAGCUCUAUUGAGGUUGGUGAAGUUAAUGCACACCCUCCACUUGCCGUUGUUUUUCUUUACCAAAAUCGGGUUGGAGACCCAUCUAGGGUAGGUUGCCUCCCGGAGAAAGCCAUUUUGGAUGAGCUUCUGAACUUCUUCCUUUAGGGCCUCAUACCUCUCAGGAUUGAGGGCUUUCCUUUUUUGUCUAUACGGGGCAACCUUAGGAUCAAUUUUCAAGUGGUGGCAGCUGACCUUGGGGUCUAUGCCUACCAUGUCCUCAUGCUUCUAGGCAAAGAUAUCAAGAUUCUUGCUCAGGAAAUCCUUAAUCUUUUCCUUCAGAAUGUUGGAUAGGCAUUUGCCUACCUUCAGCACCUUUGAUGGGUCUCGAGGGUCUACCGAGAAGCUCUCAAGUUCCUCUACUGGGGAUGCCUGAGGCUCGUGUUCCAUGAUGCGGGGGUCAAUUUCAUCGAUGACCAGUGCCUCCGAAUUAGGUGGUGCAUCGAUCAUAUCAACAUCUUCUUGUUCGGUGGGAGCACCACCUAGGACGUCAUCCAUAACCACGUCAGCUAUGAUUACAUGGAUGUCCCGGGGCUCUACCUUCUUGAUGGAGCUUAGAUAGCACUUUCUCGAGCCUCUUUGGUCGCUUCUCACCGUUGCCACCCCAUUUUCUGUUGGAAAUUUCAUGCAUGGGUGGUGGAUGGAGGUGACUGCUCCCAGUUCCUUUAGGGCUGGUCUGCCCAGCACCCCAUGGUAGGUCGACCGGCUAUCGACAAUGAAGAACUUCAUGAAGUUCAUCGUUGUUCGUGGGGAUUCCCCCAUCUCCACUGCUAGUGUUAUCUUUCCCCUCGGAGUGAUGCUAUCUCCGAUAAAUCCAUACAAUGGAGUGGUGGUGGGCGUCAGCUGAUGAUCCAAUAUCAUUUUAUCAAAGGCGGAUCCGAAUAGAAUGUUGACGGAGCUGCCGUUGUCAACUAACAUUCGUUUGAGCCCAUUCCUCGCUAUGACAGCCCUCACCACAAGUGCAUCGCAAUGGAGGUAAUGAACUCCCUCUGCGUCUUCCUGGGUAAAUACAAUGGGUGGAACCUGGUUUCUUCGGGAGCUGCUACCCACAAUGUAGCUUGUCAAAGGGGGGUGUUUAGCCUCCCGGGCAUAGUUCCUUUUGGCGUUUCGUGUUUCACCG
rnacentral:lncRNA from 1 species